rnacentral:misc_RNA from 1 species
UGAUUGUCUCCUUGAAACCUUCUUCUCGUUCUUGUCGCCGUUAGCAAUCCAAGUAUUAAUUUCUGAUCCUCCCCUUGCCGACGAAUCUGGUAAGAUAAGGCGAGAUCUGGGAAUUUCCUCAAACUCUGUGGAUUCUGCUUCGUCCGUCUAGUGUUUUUAAAAGAAACAAGAGACCAGUGUUGUCUCUAUUCUCAGUGGAGAAGUUAAUGGUGACACGCUAGGGAGUGCACCAUGUUGUCCUCCUCUGUUAUACUUAUAAGUAACAUGUUGUUUUUACACUUUUUUUCACCCCUCCCCCAAUGUAACAUUGGAACUCGUAUAUAACACUUUCGCCGCAUUUAAUGC